CACCGGCCGCUCGAGUGGUAGCCGCGUUUAUUGGGCCUAAAGCGUCCGUAGCCGGUCCGAUAAGUCUCUGGUGAAAGCCCACAGCUCAACUGUGGGAAUCGCUGGAGAUACUAUCGGACUUGAGGCCGGGAGAGGCUGGAGGUACUCCCAGGGUAGGGGUGAAAUCCUAUAAUCCUGGGAGGACCACCUGUGGCGAAGGCGUCCAGCUGGAACGGACCUGACGGUGAGGGACGAAAGCCAGGGGCGCGAACCGG
rnacentral:rRNA from 1 species